rnacentral:lncRNA from 1 species
CUAAUACUAGUAAUAACGGUGACAGUGAUGUUAAUUUAACUUUGCAGGGUUAUAAUUUUGUGAACUAUUUGAAAUGAGAAAAAAGAAAAAAAAACACCAAGGAUUCUGCUAGAACAUUCUUGUUAUAGAAACAAACAUUCUCUGCCAAGACUCUUUUGGAGACUCUCAAACAAGAAGAAAGAGCAAGUGCUUCCAACAGCGACCACUUGCCACCAGGAAGCUUUGCACCUGGAGCACAAGUGGGGAGCUCCUCCGUGGACAGUGUUUGCCUUGGGAAAGGGCCCUGACCUGUCCAUCAAAUCAGACCUCGUCAAAUAUGCCCUCCUUUGCCCCUGUAGACAGCAACCCCCACUGUUUUUGAGAUGCUGCUUGCCAAUCACUCUGGUAUGGUCCAUGAAGGUCCUUCUCUCCAGGGACACGUGGAGAAUUCUGAUUCUCAAAGAAUCUUGGAAGGACAGGGCGAUGUUAUUUUAUCAGUAGUGAAUGGGCUGAAGGGGAGUCAUCUUCGAAGAGACUGCUCUCAUCCCAGUUCUGAUUUAGGAGGCUGCUGCUGAUAAGAGAGCCGUGGCUGUGGUCAUCAGCAGCACAGGCACCAUAUCUGCCCUCUCAGCAGGGUCUAGCAUAUAGCAAAUACUCAAUGGAUGCUAUGGGAAAGAGGGAGCAGGGGAGAUGGAGAAAGGAGGGAGGGAGGGAAAGAGGAGAGGAAGGGCCUGUGGGCUGUUGGGACAGGAAAGUGCCUGAGAACCUGGGUGUAGGGGCAGGGUUGACCAUGGCACUGACCUUGAAUGCAGCGCCCUGGAGUUCUAUUCCUGGCUCCAUCAAUCAGAAGCCGUGUGACUUUGGCUAAGUGACUUUCCUCUCAGAGUGCUGCCAUUUUGGAAUUGGCUCUGGGCCACAAAGAGAACCAAAAUAGAGUGACAAAUUACCUCUCUUUCCAUGGCAGGCACAGAUGUGAUCGCCUACCGUGUCAUUACAGCCGUGGCCGGGCGUGCUCGGGAGCAUAGUUCCAGGCUGACAUGAGAAAGCGGACUUUGGGUCAAGAGGAGGUGGGAUGGUGGACCCUGGGGCUUCCCAUGAGCCUUCUGUGGAAAAGUCCAUGGAAACCUGUAACCGAAUGGGGAGUGUGGAGGGUAACCAAGAGUGAGAUGUGAGGGUGCAGCUCCUCAGGCAGGGCCACUCAGGAAGUUGAGGGUAUAAAGCUCUCUCUAAGCAGGAGCGUAUUCAACAGGAAGUGAGCAGGGAGGGUGAGCAGGUGACAUCAGCAGAUCUCAAAUCCUCAUCCUGUUGGGCGUCAGUUGAGAUCAUGGCUCUCAGCAGAUCCCAGGAGAAGGGAAGAGGCCAGACUUAAUUAAACACUGGGUGGAAGGAUGCUCCUGUGCCAAAGGGGACCAUAAAAGGGCCUGAGAGCUCAAAGAUGGGACAUAGACAUAACCUGUGCACCGUCACCUCAAUGUCACUGUGUAAACACCCCGAGCUUAGCAUCUGCUCUAAGGAAAGCGGUGGGGAGUGCUGGUGCCCCGGUAAGCCAGCUGUCCAUGAUGAAAACCAAAUUCUAGAGUUUGCCACCUUCCAGGAUGUCAAGGUCAGUUCCAGCUUGCGAAUUUCCUGAAAAUUUAAUGAUUAGCUUUUAUGGGCCACACGAGCAGACUCAAACAACGCGGGGCAGGAGGGAGUUCCUGAAAGCAACCGAGCUUUAGCUCAGCAUGACUGAGGAAUCCAGGAUUUACUGAACUUUCUGCACCGGGUAGAAGUGGGGUGAAGAGAGAAAGGAGAGUAAAACCACAAGAAGGAAGAAUACCAGCACCCGCCGCAUUGGUUAUAGAGGAAACUCUCAAAAUGGGCAAGCCCAGAGCAGCCGCAGGAUGAGACCUCGCUGUGGCCGACGCUUACUGCAGAUGGUUGUACCCACACGGGAACCAGAUGGGAAAGAAGAGACAGGAGUGUCAGGAAAGGGCCAUUGUUGGGAAACUGCUCUGCUGGGCUCUCUGGCACUUCUGCAUAGCUCACCAUGGGCUGCCCUUUGCUCUGGAGUGCCAUUUUGAGGACAUCUGUGUAACAAACAGCCUUGGAGAGACAGAGUGUCUCUCUCUAGAGUAACACAAGGAGGACUUAGUGACUAUUAUAAAAGUUCAGGCUCCUUACAUCUGGGCUUCCUCUAUAGGAACAAGCAUGCCGUGGGAAAAGGCGUCACCUGUCUGUCUUCACUUCACCCUGUAGGAAUCCAGGUUUGGGAGUUUGGUGCCAACAUAUCACAUGCUUAUUUCCUGAGUAAUGAAUAGGGUGCCCGUCUUCUGCAGCAUCCAGAAAACUAAGCCAGGGUAGCAGGGUAACCUAGAUUACAAAUAAGGUGCACCACAGACCCUUCACAGUUCUUGACAGUCACACAUCCAGAUCGUAAUGAGUGCCACCUGUCAGGCACUGUGAGCGUUUAGAACACAGCUAACCAUACAGUGGGUGGAACAAGACAUUUCCCAGAACUGAGUGCCAUCACCUGUUCUUACACGUGGGCUAACAGAGGACAGGAGGAACCAAGGUCUUGCCUAAAGUUCUGAGGGCAGGGAAUGUCGGAGUUGGAUUUGACCAAGGUCCUGCUGGCUCUAGAUCCCGCAGUGUGUGCCCCACAUGGCGUGCCCCUCCGGGGAAGCUGAGGGUACACUGCAGAAGAGUGUGGCCAGAGAGGGGUGAGGGGACUCCGUGAAGGUGGUCUGGGCUUUUGUACAGUCCUAGCUCUGACCCUGUACAGCUGAGCAACCUGUUUGAACUUUCUUAUCCUCUUGACCUUCAUUUGUGCAAUGAGGUGAAACCAGGGCUCACCUCACAGAGCAGCUUAGUUCUGGGCCUUAGUUCACAGGGCCUGCAAGGAGCCAGGCUCACCGUAGCUCUGCUCCUAGUGAAGCACUCUUGCCAGGCUAGCAACCCUGGUCUUGCAGUAGAACCUAGUCUGGCAGCAAAUGAAAGAACUGAAUCUCAGGUCCCACCCAAUGCUAUCAGGUGGAGUGGGACACCCCUCAGGUGGCGUAGGAUUCUCAAGUUCACUGUAAGCCAUCAGCCAGCUUAGUGAGCUCCUGCGUGACCCACAGUCCCUGCUGUUCCUACUUAACAUCCCAACUGCCUCUGCAGUCCUUUCCCACAGCCCCCCAGAGGACCCACCUUCUCAAUUCAUUGUCUCUCUCCCAUCUGAGCAGAAGAUAUCUGGGGCCAGGGAACACACGGUCGGUACCUGCCAAAUCCCAGUACUAGGAGUGGAGCCUGACACACAGUAGGACUCGAUGCACAUGCACACAUGUAAGGGAAGCAUUUGGGGCACACUGUGUGCCUGCAGGGAAGGUAAGAUUUGCAGAAGAGGAGAUUCAGGAAGCCAGGAAGGGCAGAAUGGAGAUGAGAGAAGGAUGUAGAAGCUUGCCUGGAUCUCGUGUGGCCUGGUGUGGGGUGCCAUAGGGCUGAAGCGAGGUCCUCGUGUGGAAUGGCCAGCUCAAGCAGAGGAGGCCUUCCUGUGAAGCCCUUGCUGCCUUGUGAGAAGCCCUUUCGUGAUUCAGCAUGCUGGGUGAUGCUGGUGGGCUGGAGCCAGGAGCUGGUGACGGAGAUGGACCAAGUGCAAACACACUGGGGCAGGGUCAGUUGGGCAAAGGGAACCUCAGGGAGGGGGUUAUGACAUUGGUGGGGUGUCUGAGCCAUGGGAGCAGAAGGUUGGAGAAACUCUUAGAAGAAGGGCCACCUGAGUUUUUGGGUGUGUUGAAAUCCUCUUCUCACAGGAGAAAUGACCUACACUAGGGUUUGCCCCUGGCCUGGGACCAACCGGCUCAGUGUUAAUUGCUGUGAUCACCUACCCUGUCCUGCUGGGACAGUCAAGGCUGCUUCUGCUCUGCACUGGUCCCCUGCAAAGCCUGCCCUGCACUCCCAGCAUGAUGUUGGUGCUUAGAGUGAGAGUCCCAGGAGGUCAAAAGCACCGACCUGAGUUGGACAGACCCACUCAAACCUGAGUUGCACCAGCUCUGAUGUGGUGUCCGCACUUGCUGCAUCUGUCUGGACUUUGGAGUUCUAAUUUGCUAAAAUGAAAACAUACAAGAACUAAUCCACUGGCAUGGCUAUUAUUGCUGCUGUUAUUAUUUUGUUUUAAUUGUGACCUUACGCUUGCCUUGUUCAUUCUUAGGCAGGUAGUAGCAGACUCCUUAGCUGAGAUGAGCUGUCCCCAGCUCUCAUGAUUCGCAGAUUUUUGUUUUUUAGUUUGCAUAGAAAAAAACAAGGCGAGGAGACCCUUUCUUUUGGAGCCCCUGGCAAAGCUAUCAGUGAUGCCAUCCUCGCCAGUCUCAGGCCCGGGCAGUGCCAGCUCCCAGCAGGACUGGAUGAUCCGUCCCCAGGCAACUCUGAGGCUGCAGCUCUGUGAGUCUCCAGAGGCUGGUGGUUAUCAGUGGAGCAGGGCAUCUCCUCCCUGAGCAGGGAGCUUAAGCCAGGCCCAGGCCCAGCAUGGCAGCUGGUUUAUUUACACAGAAAAUUGCAUUUUCUACUUUCUUGGUCACCCUCAUGUAUCUAGAAGCUUCUGCUGGGCUUGGGAACCUGAGGUCUGGGGCUGGAGGAAGAGGGCUGGGAGUGGCUAGUCUGAAGGGUAUUGCCAACUCAGGAGCUGCUAUAGACAGACAACUGCCUUGGGACCCAGCCAAAGAAUGCCGGGACCUGUGGUCUCUUCCCACACACAUACUUUUGGAAACAAAAGUAUUGCCAACUGGAUAUGAACCUGGGCACAUUUCCUUUCUCCUUUCUUCUUUGAGUAGCUUUAUUUUCAUCUACCAAAAAAAACUUCCUCCCAGGUUAAUGUGAUGUACACGGUGCGUAGAAGUGAGGUUCUGUAACUUCAAACUCAAAAGCAAAAUAGAUGGUGAGGAAUUGCUGUGGUUUGGUAUUUGAGUCUCUUUCAAAAUUCAUGUUGAAUCUUAAUCCUCAAAGCCGCAGCGCCAGGAAGUAUGGCUUUCAGGGGGUGAUUGAAUCAUGAGGGCCGCGCCUUUGUCCAUGGGAUGAGGUGCCUCAUUAAAGGCUCAAGGGAGGGAGUUCAACCCUUCCGCUUUGGCCAUGUGCGGACACAGGCUUCCUCCCCUCUGGAGGACGUGUCCCUCAGGGUGUCAUCUUGGAAGUAGAGGGCAGCCCUCACCAGACACCAAGCCUUACCACAGCCAGGACUUCUCAGCAUUCAGAACUGUGAGAAAUCACAUUCUGCUCCUUCUAAGUUACUGACUGUGGUGUCCUGUUACAGCCGCACCACAGAACAAGACAAGACAGAAAUAAGCCUCCUCUGUCCCGUCACAGCCACCUGAAUCCACCUAGGGGGAGAAAACACAACAGCAUAAUUCCCAAUGCCUCCAUUUAUCCAUCUGAAAAAUGGGGACGAUAGGAUCUACUUCCAC